GAGAUAGCUGGUUCUCCCCGAAAUAGCUUUAGGGCUAGCCUCAGGGAAAAGAUUGCAGGCGGUAGAGCACUGAUCAGGAGAGGGACCUACCCGGUUACCAAACCCAGUCAAACUCCGAAUGGCUGCAAUCAUACCUGGGAGUCAGACUGCGACUAAUAAGGGCCGUAGUCAAAAGGGAAACAGCCCAGACCAUCAGCUAAGGUCCCCAAUGCCGUGCUAAGUGGCGAAGGAUGUGGCAUUUCAUAAACAACCAGGAUGUUGGCUCAGAAGCAGCCACCAUUUAAAGAGUGCGUAAUAGCUCACUGGUCGAGAGACGCUGCGCCGAAAAUGUCCGGGGCUCAAGCACGGAACCGAAGCUAUGGCAUGAUAGCAAUAUCAUGGGUAGGGGAGCGUUCUUAUAAGGAAGAAGCAUGACCGGAAGGACAUGUGGACGAAUAAGAAGUGAGAAUGCCGGUAUGAGUAUCGAAAAGAAAGGUGAGAAUCCUUUCCACCGAAAGCCCGAGGGUUCCUGAGCAACGAUCGUCGACUCAGGGUAAGUCGGGACCUAAGCCGAGGCGAGAAGCGUAGGCGAUGGACAACAGGUUGAAAUUCCUGUACCGGAUCAAGUCGAUCGAGCGAAGGAGCGACGCAGGAGGGCACAUGAUCGCGCGGCUGGAAGAGCGCGUCCAAGUGCGUAUGUUGCUGCAGAGGCAAAUCCCUGCAGCAGAAAGCAGAGACAUGAUGGGGAGUUAAAGGAAACUUUGACGAACUCAUGGAUCCCACACUGCCAAGAAAAACUUCUAGCGAGACAAGAUCCGCCCGUACCGUAAACCGACACAGGUAGGCGGGGAGAGAAUCCUAAGGUGCGCGGGAAAACCCUCGUUAAGGAACUCGGCAAAUUGCAUCCGUAACCUAGGGAGAAGGAUGGCCCCCGGUCAGUGAAGAGCAGAAACGCUCAGAGCUAAAAGGGGCGGCAGAAAAGAGGCCCAAGCAACUGUUUACCAAAAACACAGGUGCCUGCGAAAGCGAAAGCUGAAGUAUAGGUGCUGACGCCUGCCCGGUGCCGGAAGGUUAAGGAGAGAAGUUAGCAAAAGCGAAGCAUCGAACUGAAGCCCCGGUGAACGGCGGCCGUAACUAUAACGGUCCUAAGGUAGCGAAAUUCCUUGUCGGGUAAGUUCCGACCCGCAUGAAAGGCGUAAUGAUUUGGGCACUGUCUCAACGAGGGGCCCGGUGAAAUUGAAAUACCUGUGAAGAUGCAGGUUACCCGCGACUGGACAGAAAGACCCCAUGGAGCUUCACUGCAGCUUGAGAUUGAAUCCCGGUGACAGAUGCACAGGAUAGGUGGGAGGCGCCGAAGCAUUGCCCUAGGGCGGUGCGGAGCCGAUGUUGGGAUACCACCCUUCUGUUGCUGAGAUUCUAACGCGAGGAGUAACGACCCUGCGGACCCUCUCAGGCAGGCGGUUUGACUGGGGCGGUCGCCUCCGAAAGAGUAACGGAGGCGCCCAAAGGUUCCCUCAGGCCGGACAGAAACCGGCCGAAGAGUGCAAAGGCAGAAGGGAGCUUGACUGCGAGACCAACAAGUCGAGCAGGGACGAAAGUCGGGCUUAGUGAUCCGGUGGUACUGGGUGGAAAGGCCAUCGCUCAACGGAUAAAAGCUACCCUGGGGAUAACAGGCUAAUCUCUCCCAAGAGUUCAUAUCGACGGGGAGGUUUGGCACCUCGAUGUCGGCUCAUCACAUCCUGGGGCUGGAGUAGGUCCCAAGGGUUGGGCUGUUCGCCCAUUAAAGUGGUACGCGAGCUGGGUUCAAAACGUCGUGAGACAGUUUGGUUCAUAUCCAUCGCGGGCGCAAGAAGUUUGAGAGGAGCUGCUCCUAGUACGAGAGGACCGGAGUGGACGGAUCAACGGUGUCCCAGUUGUCACGCCAGUGGCACGGCUGGAAAGCCGCAUCCGGGAAGGAUAAACGCUGAAAGCAUCUAAGCGUGAAGCCAACCUCAAGA
rnacentral:rRNA from 1 species